UACAGAGGUCUCAAGCGUUGUUCGGAUUCAUUGGGCGUAAAGGGUGCGUAGGCGGCGCGGUAAGUCGGGUGUGAAAUCUCGGAGCUUAACUUCGAAACUGCAUUCGAUACUGCCGUGCUUGAGGACUGGAGAGGAGACUGGAAUUUACGGUGUAGCAGUGAAAUGCGUAGAUAUCGUAAGGAAGACCAGUGGCGAAGGCGGGUCUCUGGACAGUUCCUGACACUGAGACACGAAGGCCAGGGGAGCAAACGGG
rnacentral:rRNA from 1 species